CGAAGCUUUUCGUUUUUUAAGGAAAAAAAAACUCAUGAUUGUGCAUUCUCGAUAACUCAAUAGGAAUACUGCAUCUAUGUUUUCAUACAGAGAACAAAAACAAGGAGCAAUAAGGGGUGGUGCUUUCUUCUCCUAUCCAAGAGAAUAAUAAUGGAGAAAUAAAAGUGCUCAAACUGUGUUAACCGCGAUAUUCAGAACCUACUUACGUGCCGCUGUCAUCCGUGUUAUCCCGCAAAAUACCUCCUGUAAACUUUUCGUCUGCAUCCGAGCCCGUUUCUGAUUCAGGUUAUUAAAGGGUUUACAGCAGAAAACUUAAAUGAAGUCCCUCCAAAAAAGGAGAUGGAGAAAAAGAAGUAGAUGAAUUGUAUCUUUCAGAUGGUCGAAAAAUGAAAAUAAUGAGAGGUAAAUCAAUAUUUCAAAGAUAAAAAUGAAAAUGAUAGUUGUUCAAGUCAAAUGUUUAUAAGUCAUCAGUAGCCUAUUCAAA